UACAGAGGAUGCAAGCGUUAUCCGGAAUGAUUGGGCGUAAAGCGUCUGUAGGUGGCUUUUUAAGUCCGCCGUCAAAUCCCAGGGCUCAACUCUGGACAGGCGGUGGAAACUACCAAGCUGGAGUACGGUAGGGGCAGAGGGAAUUUCCGGUGGAGCGGUGAAAUGCGUAGAGAUCCGGAAGAACACCGACGGCGAAGGCAGCGUCCUGGCCGAGCACUGACGCUCAGGCACGAAAGCGCGGGGAGCAAACAGG
rnacentral:rRNA from 1 species